CCUACGGGUGGCAGCAGUGAGGAAUAUUGGUCAAUGGGCGAGAGCCUGAACCAGCCAAGUCGCGUGAGGGAGUACUGCCCUAUGGGUUGUAAACCUCUUUUGUCGGGGAGCAAAAGCCGGACGUGUCCGGCUGUGAGAGUAACCGAAGAAAAAGCAUCGGCCAACUCCGUGCCAGCAGCCGCGGUAAUACGGGGGCUGCGAGCGUUAUCCGGAUGUGUUGGGGUUAAGGGGAGCGCAGGCGGAUUUUUAAGUUAGCGGUCAAAUCGUGGGGCUCAACCCCAUCCAGCCGUUGAUACUGGGGAUCUAGAGUGUGCGAGAGGGAGGCAGAAUGCGUGGUGUAGCGGUGAAAUGCAUAGAGAUCACGCAGAACCCCGAUUGCGAAGGCAGCAUACCGGUGCACAACUGACGCUCAGGCACGAAAGCGUGGGUAUCGAACAGGAUUAGAUACCCUAGUAGUC
rnacentral:rRNA from 1 species